rnacentral:rRNA from 1 species
UACGUAGGGUGCAAGCGUUAAUCGGAAUUACUGGGCGUAAAGCGUGCGCAGGCGGUUUUGUAAGUCUGUCGUGAAAUCCCCCGGGCCUCAACCUGGGAAUUGCGAUGGAGACUGCAAGGCUAGAAUCUGGCAGAGGGGGGUAGAAUUCCACGUGUAGCAGUGAAAUGCGUAGAGAUGUGGAGGAACACCGCUGGCGAAGGCAGCCCCCUGGGUCAAGAUUGACGCUCAUGCACGAAAGCGUGGGGAGCAAACAGG